AUUGAACGCUGGCGGCAGGCCUAACACAUGCAAGUCGAACGGUAACAGGAAGCAGCUUGCUGCUUUGCUGACGAGUGGCGGACGGGUGAGUAAUGUCUGGGAAACUGCCCGAUGGAGGGGGAUAACUACUGGAAACGGUAGCUAAUACCGCAUAAUGUCGCAAGACCAAAGAGGGGGACCUUCGGGCCUCUUGCCAUCGGAUGUGCCCAGAUGGGAUUAGCUAGUUGGUGAGGUAACGGCUCACCAAGGCGACGAUCCCUAGCUGGUCUGAGAGGAUGACCAGCCACACUGGAACUGAGACACGGUCCAGACUCCUACGGGAGGCAGCAGUGGGGAAUAUUGCACAAUGGGCGCAAGCCUGAUGCAGCCAUGCCGCGUGUAUGAAGAAGGCCUUCGGGUUGUAAAGUACUUUCAGCGGGGAGGAAGGGGUUAAGGUUAAUAACCUUAGCCAUUGACGUUACCCGCAGAAGAAGCACCGGCUAACUCCGUGCCAGCAGCCGCGGUAAUACGGAGGGUGCAAGCGUUAAUCGGAAUUACUGGGCGUAAAGCGCACGCAGGCGGUCUGUCAAGUCGGAUGUGAAAUCCCCGGGCUCAACCUGGGAACUGCAUUCGAAACUGGCAGGCUUGAGUCUCGUAGAGGGGGGGUAGAAUUCCAGGUGUAGCGGUGAAAUGCGUAGAGAUCUGGAGGAAUACCGGUGGCGAAGGCGGCCCCCUGGACGAAGACUGACGCUCAGGUGCGAAAGCGUGGGGAGCAAACA
rnacentral:rRNA from 1 species